rnacentral:lncRNA from 1 species
UUCUGACCUACAAUAAUACAAUUGAAUUAUAAAUGUUAGAUCAUUCAUUAUCCAUGAGUUAUAGAGAUGCUUGCCAUGCCGUGAAUGAUCAAGUAAAGCUUAGAAUUUAUGUAAUGAACAAAAUUGGUACAUCAUAGUGUCUAAUAUAACACAAAUAAUUUUGCUCAUAUUCCCUAUUGGAAUCAUUAUUUUUCAAGUCUUUGCCUCCUUAGAGAAUAUGAUGGCUCAAAAUGGCCCAUUUUAUUAAGUAAAACAAAAUGGUGGACCCAUAUCUAACAUUAACCCUAUGAUGAGAUAUGAUCUACACGGAGAGCUUCUUAUAGCAAGAAAAAUCUAUUCAUUAAUCCCUUAUUCGCAACAUUUUGGCACAAAAGUGAAAUAGUCGCUAUCAUCCUUUCACAUAUAAAUAUAAAUGAAUCGAUAUAAUAUGAGACCUCCCAACGCAAAAAAUAAUUAUUUUUCUCAUCAAAAUUGAGUUUGAAUUACCUACACUUGUAUUCUUUGGAAAAUUAUACUGUGUUUAAUCAUUUAGAGACCCCACAAAUUCAUUACUUGAAGUAGCAUCUAAAAUUAAUUAUGAAAUAAAUAUAUUUUAUGUACUUGAAGGGGGCCAUGUCGGGUCCAAAAUCAUACAUCAAAUGAAACCUAUAACACUAGUUAACUUUCUUGGGUAUAGCAGCUCAACCCAAUAAAAGUAAUGUAGGUAACAUAAAUGAAUUGUUUUCCUGUCAACUCAAAAUAUCAUAUGUUGAUCCUGGUUAUUAUUGGCAUAUUUGUGAUCCAACAAAUACGGAUAUUACUAAUACUUACAUUAUGUAUUGAGGAAAUUGAGCUUUGUCCUUGGAGGAGCUAUUUCCCUGAGAUGCAGAGUAAUAGACGUAGAUUAUUAUAAGGAGUCCUCCAGAUCAUCCACUCUUUUGUUAAACGAUAGAAGGUAAAACUGGUCGUCAACAAUAGCUGCUCCUCAAGGCUUAUAGAUACCAUCAACGGAAGGAUGAUGAUUAUGGAUGGAGGAAUACUCAGAAACAAAACCUGGAGAUGAUGAAUCAAUGAAGAACAAACUUAUUUCAAGUCACUUGAUCACAUAUAAGCUAUCUACUUUUUUUUUAGCAACACUUUUUCCCUUUAAAUUUUUUUAUAUUACAUACUUCUAAAUGAUUUUAACUAUUGUUAAAGAAGGCGCUCUCUCAGUUUGCCUAAAUUUCCCACCCUCUCCUCUAAGUUGUAGUUGACUAUUAUAUUGAACAGCAACCUCUCUCCGUUCAUAAAAAAUGACGUCAGUUAGGGCUGAAUAAAUUCCCACAACCAAUGGAGGAUUUUUCUCAAUGGACCUUUUAAAGAGUUGGGCUUGCAGUCGUCUCUUGGCCUUUAAACAUAACUAAGAGAAGGAGAGAGAGCAAACGAAAGGAAGGCUAUAGAAAGCCUCUUUGCUUCAGCUAAGACGAUAAAAUUAUCCAUCUCCUAUGGUUGCUAUUAUUAUUAUAGGCUCAUAAGCUUAAGAUACGAACAUAAUUUCUACUAUGUACGUACAUAAUAAUAUAAGCCUACUCUCUAUCUGUGCAAAAAGUCAUUAAAGCUAUUAUUGAAUAAGUCUCCUUAAACAAUUAAUAAAUAAUUUUCUUUAA